GACGAACGCUGGCGGCGUGCUUAACACAUGCAAGUCGUACGGUAAGGCCCUUUCGGGGGUACACGAGUGGCGAACGGGUGAGUAACACGUGAGUAACCUGCCCACAACUUUGGGAUAACGCUAGGAAACUGGUGCUAAUACUGGAUAUGUGCUCCUGCUGCAUGGUGGGGGUUGGAAAGCUCCGGCGGUUGUGGAUGGACUCGCGGCCUAUCAGCUUGUUGGUGGGGUAGUGGCCUACCAAGGCGGCGACGGGUAGCCGGCCUGAGAGGGUGACCGGCCACAGUGGGACUGAGAUACGGCCCAGACUCCUACGGGAGGCAGCAGUGGGGAAUAUUGCACAAGGGGCGCAAGCCGGAUGCAGCAACGCCGCGGGCGGGAUGACGGCCUUCGGGUUGUAAACCGCUUUCAGCAGGGACGAAGCUUUUUGUGACGGUACCUGCAGAAGAAGCACCGGCUAACUACGUG
rnacentral:rRNA from 1 species